GGAAUGCCCAGCCAAGCACCUCUCAGACUCCUGAUCCACAGAAACAAUGAGCAUGGUAAGAUGUGCCUGCAUCUCCUUUGUCAUCCAUCAUGACUUUAACUUUCUUGAGGCCUCCCCAGCCAUGCUUCCUGUACAGCCUACAGAACUGAUGGAACACCAGGCUAUAGUUUCAGGAAGCCAGCCUUGACCUUGCAAUAAAUAGCACCCCCUUCAGAAUUGGUAAAGCAAUGAGAAAGAAUUGCCCAGAACUUCAUGGAGCUGAGUCAUUCACCCAUCCUGGAACAUCCACCUUCCUCUGGAAUUGUUUUUUUAAUGUAUUUUCUUCUUGUUUAAUCCACUAAUUCUCUCUCUUUUCCUCUCUUUCUCUCUCUCUCAUCUCUGUUUCUUUCCACAGCAACAUAGACUAUAUAUGAUUAUAUAUUUGAGUAUAUUUAAUUUUAAAAGUACAUACACAAAUAUUUAAAGAACUGCUCAAUCAGAAAAAAAUACACUUAAUAAAUAAUUGUUCAACAAUGGCCUUGAUGUGCUAUAAUUUGUAUUUCCACCAAAUGAGUCCCAGUUACUUUUAAUGUGUAUUUUCCAUGCUUGUUCACCUAUUUCAUUUUAUACUAAAUGUAUAUUAAAUUUCCCUCUAAUGUUUUGAUUUUCUAACAAAAUGUUGGUCAUGUU